rnacentral:rRNA from 1 species
GACGAACGCUGGCGGCGUGCUUAACACAUGCAAGUCGAACGGAAAGGCCCUGCUUUUGUGGGGUGCUCGAGUGGCGAACGGGUGAGUAACACGUGAGUAACCUGCCCUUGACUUUGGGAUAACUUCAGGAAACUGGGGCUAAUACCGGAUAGGAGCUCCUGCUGCAUGGUGGGGGUUGGAAAGUUUCGGCGGUUGGGGAUGGACUCGCGGCUUAUCAGCUUGUUGGGGGGGUAGUGGCUUACCAAGGCUUUGACGGGUAGCCGGCCUGAGAGGGUGACCGGCCACAUUGCGACUGAGGUACGGCCCAGACUCCUACGGGAGGCAGCAGUGGGGAAUAUUGCACAAUGGGCGGAAGCCUGAUGCAGCAACGCCGCGUGCGGGAUGACGGCCUUCGGGUUGUAAACCGCUUUCGCCUGUGACGAAGCGUGAGUGACGGUAAUGGGUAAAGAAGCACCGGCUAACUACGUG